GACGAACGCUGGCGGCGUGCUUAACACAUGCAAGUCGAACGGUGAUCCUCGGAGCUUGCUUCGGGGUGAACAGUGGCGAACGGGUGAGUAACACGUGAGUAACCUGCCCCUGACUCUGGAAUAAGCGCUGGAAACGGCGUCUAAUACCGGAUAUGACACGAACGGGCAUCCGUAUCGUGUGGAAAGUUUUUCGGUCUGGGAUGGACUCGCGGCCUAUCGGCUUGUUGGUGAGGUAAUGGCUCACCAAGGCGAUGACGGGUAGCCGGCCUGAGAGGGCGACCGGCCACACUGGGACUGAGACACGGCCCAGACUCCUACGGGAGGCAGCAGUGGGGAAUAUUGCACAAUGGGCGAAAGCCUGAUGCAGCGACGCCGCGUGAGGGAUGACGGCCUUCGGGUUGUAAACCUCUUUCAGCAGGGAAGAAGCGAAAGUGACGGUACCUGCAGAAGAAGCACCGGCUAACUACGUGCCAGCCGCCGCAGUAAUAC
rnacentral:rRNA from 1 species